GGAAGAGAGCAAGGCUUGCAUGGUGAUAAGGGUGUAGCUCUGGUAGCCAAGGAUGACUUGCCUGUGUCCUUGUGUAGAGGAUCAUUCAGAAAAUGAGCCUUGAACUGGUUCAUAGGCAGUCUCCUUGGCUAGUCUGAGUCGCUCUUAUCACUCAUGUUAGGCUUGCAUCUCGUUGA
rnacentral:pre_miRNA from 1 species